ensembl:miRNA MIR200B microRNA mir-200b
CCGCCAUCUUACUGGGCAGCAUUGGAUGGUGUCUGGUCUCUAAUACUGCCUGGUAAUGAUGACGG